rnacentral:rRNA from 1 species
AACGAACGCUGGCGGUAGGCCUAACACAUGCAAGUCGAACGACGACUUCGUUUCUGGUUGCUGUCGCGUGAGUAACGCGUGGGAAUGUGCCCUUCUCUAUCGAAUAGUCCUUUGACACUGGGGGUAAUAUCGUAUACGCCCCUUUGGGAAAAGAUUCGUCGUAGAAGGGUCAGCCCGCGAUGGAUUAGGUUGUUGGUGGGGUAAUGGCCUACCACGCCUACGAUCCAUAGCUGGUUUGAGAGGAUGAUCAGCGACACUGGGACUGAGACACGGCCCAGACUCCUACGGGAGGCAGCAGUGGGGAAUCUUAGACAAUGGGGGCAACCCUGAUCUAGCCAUGCCGGGUGAGUGAUGAAGGCCUUAGAGUUGUGAAGCUCUUUCAGAUGGGAAGAUAAUGACGGUACCAGAAGAAGAAGCACCGGCUAACUCCGUG